CCUACGGGGGGCUGCAGUGGGGAAUAUUGGACAAUGGGCGAAAGCCUGAUCCAGCCAUGCCGCGUGUGUGAAGAAGGCCUUCGGGUUGUAAAGCACUUUCAGUGGGGAAGAAAGCCUUGGGGCUAAUCCCCUCGAGGAAGGACAUCACCCACAGAAGAAGCACCGGCUAACUCCGUGCCAGCAGCCGCGGUAAUACGGAGGGUGCGAGCGUUAAUCGGAAUUACUGGGCGUAAAGCGCGCGUAGGCGGUCUGAUAAGCCGGUUGUGAAAGCCCCGGGCUCAACCUGGGAACGGCAUCCGGAACUGUCAGGCUAGAGUGCAGGAGAGGAAGGUAGAAUUCCCGGUGUAGCGGUGAAAUGCGUAGAGAUCGGGAGGAAUACCAGUGGCGAAGGCGGCCUUCUGGACUGACACUGACGCUGAGGUGCGAAAGCGUGGGUAGCAAACAGGAUUAGAUACCCGUGUAGUC
rnacentral:rRNA from 1 species